AUGGCGUCCAAGAGCUUUCCUCUCUUUGAUGUAGAGAAACGGGAAGGUGAAAAAGGGUUCUUGUUGGGUUUCUUGAUUGAAACAAAGAGAAUGAUAAGAACACCUGGAAGGACAAUGAUGGUCGUCAUGCGAGGGCAUUCGAACGAUCGUGGAGCUUUGCUGCAUCUUGCAAAUCCCACAAAUAAUCGACAACGAAGACGAACCUUGCAAUUGACGAGGUUUUCUUCUCCACCUUUUCGAAUCUUUCUGCUAGUUGAUGCUGAGCAAGUGAUACAGAAUUAA